AAAAUAAUCCUACCCUUUGUGAAUUUUGUUUGUUUGAAUAAUUUUUUUUUUAAAAAAUUAUUGGAGUCUUUCCCUUUAGAGUUUGCUUUUGAGUUUGUAAAAGAAUUCGAAAACAUCUAAAGGGGAUGGUCAAUAAUUUUUUUUGAAAAAAGACAUUUUUUAAAAUUAAACUUUUUGUAUUCAUUUGUCUAAAAAUUAUUUUUAUAAUAUAAAAACAACUUUUGACAAUGGAUCUCUUGGUUCUCGCAACGAUGAAGAACGCAGCAAAAUGCGAUAAGUAGUGUGAAUUGCAGAAUACGUGAAUCAUCGAAUCUUUGAACGCAUAUUGCACUUUUUAGUUUACUAAAAAAGUAUGUCUGUUUGAGUAUCAGUAAAAUAUUCUCAUAAAAAUCAUUGUAUUUUUAUGGUUAUGAGUGUUUUACAACGAUACAAGUUGUUUCACUUUAAAUUUUUUUUUUAAUAUUGAAAUUUUCUAAUUUUAAUAAUUAAAAUUGGAUAAAAUUUUCCCGUCAAAAGGAAUAACCUAAACAAUUUUAAAUGAUUAAUUUUAGCAGAAUUUUCGAAAAAAGGAAAUUUUUUAUUAAAAUAACUUGAUCUCAAAUCAGAUAAGAGUACCCGCUGAACUUAAGCAUAUCAAUAAGCGGAGGAAAAGAAACUAACAAGGAUUCCCUUAGUAACGGCGAGUGAAGCGGAAGAGCUCAAAUUUGAAAUCUUCAAGGUUUUACCUUGACGAAUUGUAGUUUAAAGAAGUGUUUUCUGCUGAAGUUUUGGUAAAAGUUCUUUGGAAUAGGACAUCAUAGAGGGUGAGAAUCCCGUAUUUGACCAUUAUUUUCAGCUUUGUGAUACACUUUCGAAGAGUCGGAUUGUUUGGGAAUGCAGUCCAAAAUGGGUGGUAAAUUUCAUCUAAAGCUAAAUAUUGGCGAGAGACCGAUAGCGAACAAGUACCGUGAGGGAAAGAUGAAAAGAACUUUGAAAAGAGAGUUAAACAGUACGUGAAAUUGUCAAAAGGGAAGCGUUUGACACCAGUGUUGUUUUCUCGAAAAUCAAUUAAAAAUGGCUCGAUUUUGUAUUGCUUGAGACCUUAAAAGCUCACUGUACAUUUUUCGUGUCUUUUUUAAUGCACUUUUCGUUUAACAAGUCAACAUCAGUUUCUUUUGUUGUAAAAGGGUCAUUGGAAGGUGGCUUUCCUUUCGGAGAAAGUGUUUAUAGCCUUUGGCCUCUGCAAUCGGAGAGACUGAGGUCUGCAGCGUAGACUCUUCGGGUUAGAUACAUUUGUGCUAAGUUAUAGCUUUUUAUAGACAACUUGUUGACUAUAAUUAGUCUUGUAGCUUACUCGCUUAUGCUAUUUUACC
rnacentral:misc_RNA from 1 species